rnacentral:rRNA from 1 species
UACUCGAGUGGCAACGGGUGAGUAACACGUGGGUGAUCUGCCCUGCACUUCGGGAUAAGCUUGGGAAACUGGGUCUAAUACCGGAUAGGAGCCAUCUUUAGUGUGGUGGUUGGAAAGUUUUUUCGGUGUAGGAUGAGCUCGCGGCCUAUCAGCUUGUUGGUGGGGUAAUGGCCUACCAAGGCGGCGACGGGUAGCCGGCCUGAGAGGGUGUACGGCCACAUUGGGACUGAGAUACGGCCCAG